GAUGAGCAUGCGUCCCAUUAGCUAGUUGGUAAGGUAACGGCUUACCAAGGCAACGAUGGGUAGGGGUCCUGAGAGGGAGAUCCCCCACACUGGUACUGAGACACGGACCAGACUCCUACGGGAGGCAGCAGUGAGGAAUAUUGGUCAAUGGGCGCAAGCCUGAACCAGCCAUGCCGCGUGCAGGAUGAAGCAUCUAUGGUGUGUAAACUGCUUUUGUACGAGAAGAAACACUCCUACGUGUAGGAGCUUGACGGUAUCGUAAGAAUAAGGACCGGCUAACUCCGUGCCAGCAGCCGCGGUAAUACGGAGGGUCCAAGCGUUAUCCGGAAUCAUUGGGUUUAAAGGGUCCGUAGGCGGUUUUGUAAGUCAGUGGUGAAAGCCCAUCGCUCAACGGUGGAACGGCCAUUGAUACUGCAAGACUUGAAUUAUUGGGAAGCAACUAGAAUAUGUAGUGUAGCGGUGAAAUGCUUAGAGAUUACAUGGAAUACCAAUUGCGAAGGCAGGUUGCUACCAAUACAUUGACGCUGAU
rnacentral:rRNA from 1 species